rnacentral:tRNA from 1 species
GCCUGGGUGGCUCAGUCAGUUGAGCGACUGACUUCAGCUCAGGUCAUGAUCUCACGGUUUGUGAGUUCGAGCCCCGUGUCAGGCU